GGUACCGUAGCUCAACUGGCGAGAGCGCCGCAGUAUGAAUCUGGAGGUCACGGGUUCGAAUUCCGCAGGCAAUCG
rnacentral:tRNA from 1 species